rnacentral:piRNA from 1 species
UGAGUGCUGUGGUUGGUUAUUUGGAAC